rnacentral:lncRNA from 1 species
AAAGAUUUUUGGUGAAAGUCCCAUAUUUUUUGGAUUAAAAAUGAAAUUAAUAUGAAUUAAUCAAAAUAAAUGGAUUAAAUAAAAAAUCAGAAAAUAAAAAGAAAUUCAAAAAAACAAGGGCCAUCAGAUCUCCCUCAUUAAUUGAGGUAUAUUUUUUGGAUUAAAAAUGAAAUUAAUAUGAAUUAAUCAAAAUAAAUGGAUUAAAUAAAAAAUCAGAAAAUAAAAAGAAAUUCAAAAAAACAAGGGCCAUCAGAUCUCCCUCAUUAAUUGAGGUGGAAGAUCUGAU